rnacentral:rRNA from 1 species
GACGAACGCUGGCGGCGUGCUUAACACAUGCAAGUCGAGCGGUAAGGCCCUUUCGGGGGUACACGAGCGGCGAACGGGUGAGUAACACGUGGGUGACCUGCCCUCAGCUCUGGGAUAAGCCUGGGAAACUGGGUCUAAUACUGGAUAUGACUCCACGGUGCAUGUCGUGGGGUGGAAAGCCUUGUGCGGCUGAGGAUGGGCCCGCGGCCUAUCAGCUUGUUGGUGGGGUGANGGCCUACCAAGGCGACGACGGGUAGCCGGCCUGAGAGGGCGACCGGCCACACUGGGACUGAGACACGGCCCGGACUCCUACGGGAGGCAGCAGUGGGGAAUCUUGCGCAAUGGGCGAAAGCCUGACGCAGCGACGCCGCGUGAGGGAUGACGGCCUGGUGU